UUAGGAAAUCAAGGCCAAGGGAGAUGUCAUGGCUAUGGGCUGAAGCUUUGAGAAAAAGAGAAUGAAAAAUGAAAUUUGCUUUGAUUGAAGGAUAGAGGGAAGUGAUUAUUGAUAAUUAUAAGUAUGUUCUCUCUCCCUUUCUUACAAUAAGGAUAGUAGCAACAAAAAUUACUACAUGUUCUAUAUUGAAAGGAAA